GUCAGGAUGGCCGAGCGGUCUAAGGCGCCGCGUUCAGGUCGCAGUCUCCCCUGGAGGAGUGGGUUCGAAUCCCACUUCUGACA
rfam:Danio rerio chromosome 4, GRCz11 reference primary assembly.